GCUGUCCGUGCACCUAGGCCUCCUGGUGAUAACAAGAAUCCGAAACCGAGACUACCUAUUACUCUACGAGAAGCAUCGCUAUAUGGCGGGAAGCUGCGGACACAACGGGGAUGCAGGUGCCGAUAUGAACAGCGGCGGCGGCCGGGGCGUGGCAGCAGGUGCUGGCCCUGGCGUCAGCUCUCGAAGGCAAUUCUGAGCGCGGCAGCUACGACUACGGGCUAACAGAGAGGCCACCGAGCAGCUGCGGAGCCCCGGUAAUUACACACCUUUUCCCAGCUCGUCACGGGAGUCCUUGUGAGGAUGGAGCGUGUGUACAGUGAGCGUAUAAAGUGCCGCUGGGAUGUGGUUAUAUACAUGUCCACGAGGUCGGGCAUUGGAUCAGAGUCUGUGGGAGGCCCGGCGGCCCCCUCAGCGCGGUGUCGGGUCCGCCCGCGGGCCCCGGGUCCUCCGGGCCGGCGUCGCGAGGCUGGGACGCAGAUUGCACACCUCCGCUCGGACACAGAGGACAGUACUUUUGUACUUCCUGCGUAACAUCAAGACAUGGAAGGAAGUGAUGCCAUGACACGGCCGCGAGUCCUCGGGGCAGGCCGGUCAGUCUCGGGUUGUCGGGGACACGGCGGUCUCCAGGGGCGGACAUGUUGGCGGAGCUCGCGACAGAGAAAGUGCUGAAGUACCUCCAGGACACCUGCUUGGACUGCACCGUCCUCGAGCAGCUCGGGCCGCAGGCUGGCAACCCUCCGUGGUCGGACUCCAGGGCGUGGGGACUCCAGGGCCUGGGGAGAGAGCCCUCAACGCACCACAGGCUCACGCGAAGCUGAAGUCAGCGGGAGACACGGUUCUGAGCAGCUUUGCCACCGAUUUCAGCAGAAAAUCCAGUCCCGUAACUCGAAGACUCACAAGUCCUUUCCCUUUAUGCCCCAAAUGCAAAAUAAUAACAACAGCAACGACAGUGUUUGAGGGGGAGGGGAAUAAACACUCGGAAGUGACCUCCGAGCCGAGGGAGCCGACUCCUUGGCCAGGCCUCCCUGCAGCAGAGCCAGUUGAGGCAGGGACGCGGGAGGGAGGGAGGGCAGCUCGGAGUUCACUGGGGUGAGGGGUCUUCGCUGCCUCCUGCAGCCCCUGCGGGAGCUCAGUUCCCAGGUCUCACAUGCCACGCUCAGGAGCAAAUUAGAAAGUGCCGUGUGAGCUGCUUUGCAUCUUCUGCCAAGUUCCAUGGCUGAUGUUGUUACAAUAAA